rnacentral:rRNA from 1 species
UACGGAGGGUGCAAGCGUUAUCCGGAUUCACUGGGUUUAAAGGGUGCGUAGGUGGGCAGUUAAGUCAGUGGUGAAAUCUCCGGGCUUAACCCGGAAACUGCCAUUGAUACUAUCUGUCUUGAAUACCGUGGAGGUGAGCGGAAUAUGUCAUGUAGCGGUGAAAUGCUUAGAUAUGACAUAGAACACCAAUUGCGAAGGCAGCUCACUACACGUGUUAUUGACACUGAGGCACGAAAGCGUGGGGAUCAAACAGG